rnacentral:rRNA from 1 species
UCCUACGGGGGGCAGCAGUAGGGAAUAUUGGGCAAUGGGCGAAAGCCUGACCCAGCGACGCCGCGUGAGGGAUGAAGGUCUUCGGAUUGUAAACCUCUUUCAGUAGGGAAGAAGCGAAAGUGACGGUACCUAAAGAAGAAGCACGGGCUAAGUUCGUGCCAGCAGCCGCGGUAAGACGAACUGUGCAAACGUUAUUCGGAAUCACUGGGCUUGAAGAGUGCGUAGGCGGUUUCGUAAGUAGGGUGUGAAAGCCCCCGGCUCAACCGGGGAAUUGCGUCCUAAACUGCGAGGCUGGAGUGAGGUAGGGGUGUGUGGAACUUCCGGUGGAGCGGUGAAAUGCGUAGAUAUCGGAAGGAACGCCAGUGGCGAAAGCGAUGUGCUGGACCUUUUCUGACGCUGAGGCGCGAAAGCUAGGGGAUCAAACGGGAUUAGAUACCCCGGUAGUCCUAGCCCUAAACUAUGGGUACUAGAUUGUGGACUUUCAUGGGUUCACAGUCGAAGCAAAAGUGUUAAGUACCCCGCCUGGGGAGUAUGGUCGCAAGGCUGAAACUCAAAGGAAUUGACGG